GAUGAACGCUGGCGGCGUGCCUAAUACAUGCAAGUCGAGCGAACGGACGAGAAGCUUGCUUCUCUGAUGUUAGCGGCGGACGGGUGAGUAACACGUGGAUAACCUACCUAUAAGACUGGGAUAACUUCGGGAAACCGGAGCUAAUACCGGAUAAUAUUUUGAACCGCAUGGUUCAAAAGUGAAAGACGGUCUUGCUGUCACUUAUAGAUGGAUCCGCGCUGCAUUAGCUAGUUGGUAAGGUAACGGCUUACCAAGGCAACGAUGCAUAGCCGACCUGAGAGGUGGACGGGCCACAGUGGAACGGACCCCGGCCCAAGCCUCCGCGGGGAGGAACAAGAGGGCAUUCUCCCGAAAUGGCGGAAGCCCGGCGGGACCACCCCGGCGGGAGGAAGGAGGUUUUCGGGAUGUAAAACCUGUUUUAUUGGGGAAAAACAUAUGUGAAAGUAAUUGGGCACUUCUGGCGGGCACUUAACAAGAAGCCCGCGACAACCUACGUC
rnacentral:rRNA from 1 species